GAGGGUGUAGCUCAGUGGUAGAGUGCGUGCUUAGCAUGCAUGAGGUUCUGGGUUCAAUCCCCAGCACCUCCG
rnacentral:tRNA from 1 species